AGCGGUUCUACAAAACAAUAUGUUAAAUAUUAUAAAACAUAGAAAUAUAUAUUAUUCAAUGUUAAUAAUUAUUAUGAAUAUAUGUUUAUGUAAAUUUAUAAAUUUACAUAAUCUAUCCAAUUCUACUAUCCAACUCUAUUUUAAAGUCAUUAGACCGUAAUAAAGUUGGGGUUAUCACGUGUUAGUUUACAUCUAUGUAACUUGGCUCUUUAAUAUCUAUCUAUUCACACUUUUCUUUUGUUUUUAAUCCUUAGCAGUAAUAAUGUAACAAAAAAUCAAAUUUUGGACACCAAACUUCUUUAUGGAUUGUUAUGUAAAUAUUAUGUUAUAUAAAUAAUUGUUAGGUUUCAAUAGUAAACACAUAUUCUGCGUAACAUCAAUCGCUAUUAUUUUUUUCUGUUCAUAUAAUCAGUAAAGCAGAACGCUGUUACGCUAUAUAGAGGACGCGAACGAUCCAGCUGUCACACUAAAGUGGAAUGAGUGCAUUUAAAGAGGGCAAGUUUAGAGUGUCAACGAUGGAUUUUUACCAUUGUGCAUAGGAAGCCCGAGGUUGAUCACCCCAGACUGCAGGGAAAGAGCUAUGCACACGAGCGAACAGCGGAAGCUAUAGCAGGGACUGCGUUCCAUAAGACGCAAUGCGCAACGUUUUGCAGAGGCUCCCCACCGAUUAUCGGUCGAGAUAUCUCACGCGAAGCCGCCCGAAUCGAAGUGAAAUUCGCAAUCAUAUCCGCCAAAUGCAACAACAGCGCAUUUAUUCGAUCUUCUUUUUUUAAUUUUCAUCAUUUUCACAAUUUGAAUAUCACGCUAUUAGCAACUUAACAACAAAGAGAGUUAUUUUGAAUUUAGGGCAUGUAAUACAAAAUUCGAAAUACUUUCUUUAAGUCAAACCAUUACUUACAAGAAUAAAUAUUAUCUUAUAAAAGAAUUUUAUAUAUAAAUAUCAAAUAGUACAUAUAAAAAUAAAUAUUCCAAAAGAUAUAAAUAAUUUUUAAAAAUAUGAACUUCUGGUAUUUUAACGAAUAUGACAAUCAUAAGUUACUUGCAUCAAACACAAAUUCUUUUCCCGAUCAUUUUUACGACAGCUAUUUCGACUUCUCAGAAAUAUUCUCGAUUACAAUGCCGACCAUGAACGUUCGUUUCGCUUUAUUAUUGGCAACUAGCCAAAUGUUUCUUAGUAACGCGUUUCAACUGCCACCAAUAUUUCUUCUUCUACAGUGCAUACAUACUACAUGUAUGAGUAAAACUCGUAUCGAUAUAAGCUCGCGAUUGAGCAUCGUCUCAGCUAUAAUCGCAUUCAAGUACAUUACAUUAAGGUUCAAUGCCAGUCCAGAUCGCCCAGUGUUUUACUACAUUCUAAAACCAGUUUUGCGAUAGUCGUAAUCAUAUGGGUGUCACGUAUGAAAUGUCGCCAGUCUUAUUGUGUUAUGUCAUUUAUUAGUAUGCCUUCUUCCUAUUCUUAUUCGAGCGUAUGCGAAUUGCUUGAAAUAAUAAAAAUUAUUCUUGAUACGAAUAACUCGAGAAAAUGGAACUAUCUUCUAAACUAUGUUCGUUGUAGUCAACACAUCUUUAUUUUUUUGUAUAUUUAACAUCCUUUCAAGCUGUUUUUAUUCGCGAAAUAUAAUGAAAUUUCGAAAUUUGAUCACAACUUGAUGAGAAUCGCAGAGAUCUUUGAGUGAACGGAAAAAGUUCCUCAAUAUACGGCAACCAUCUUGUGAUGUGAAUUUUAAAUUGCUUAUUUUCCCAAGGUGAGUAAAAAGGAUCGUUGAAAGAAAUGUGAAGAAAUAAUAUUAAUUAGAACACAGAAAUUGGGAAGAAUCCGAAUUCGAGAGUUUUUCUAGUGCGAGCGACGAAAGAUCGAUGACUCAGCGGUGAAUACUAGUAUAGAAAGGGGAGAAGAGUCAAAUCAGCCUCUUUUUAGAGAGUUUGUUUUGAAAUAAUCGCCCAUAGACUCGCUCAGCAAUGAAGUGCACUUAUAUACAUACGUCAAUACAGUCAGAAAAAGAGCUAUGCAUAUGGUACUGAGAAACGCGUUUGAAUUAGUACGCGCCACGUGUUUGCCCACGGUCGUCGCACGGUUUACUGCCGGUCCAGCAUAAAAAAAAACUAGGAUUUAGUUAGGAUAAUCGCUUCGUAUUUUAUUGAGUGUGAACAAUGCGACACUUCAGGUUCAAUGAACAAUCGACUAAAAACGAGGCAGCUGUCAGUCCAUGUGCCGCAGCGUGAUAUGUAAAUGGGACGUAAAUUCGUAAGCAUGGCGAUGGGGUAAGCAGCCCUUUGGAGGGAAACCUUUACGAGUUAAGGCAGACGCUGUACACUAUUAUUUUUACAUCGAUGUCACGGAUCCGUCCGCAUUUUAAGCCAGUCAAAUACACUCUAUAAUGGAUUUCAGAGUUUUCCGUUGAUAACUGAAAACAAGAACGAAUAUCACGAGACGUCCAACGAGUUUACGUCAUUAAUCGAUAAUAUUAACCAGAGUUUCUACGGAACGGUUAUUGUACCCUACUGAAAUAAGCACGUAAAAAGUCUCGUAAAGAAAGACAUUUUAGCUUCCUAACAAACCUACGUACAUUAUGUUAUGAUGUUUCACAAACAUGAAGUAACAAAAAAUGAAGAAACACGUAUAAAAAACACAAUUGCAUACAAUGACACUUCAAUGGAAAAAAUAUUCAACGAUAUAAAAACAUACGAAAAAAUAAAUGAAUAUCAUUAUCAAAUCCUCAUUGUGUUAAACGUAUCUAUAAUAUAUAUACAUAUAUAUAUAUAGAAGCGACUAAUCAACUUUGGCAAUGUAUCAAAAGGCAAUUUACUGUAAAGAAACCAAAAAUGUCGAAUACCUAGUUGUAAAUUGAAGGCGUUCGAGACAGCCUCUUCGUUCGACAAGAAUCUGCAUUAGGCCUAAACAAUUUUAGACCGUAGCAAUACAAGUUGAUAAUCCAAUUUAUUUAACUAUUAGAACACGUAGAGUCUCAGGUCUUGAAAGGAUUCCAUUGAGACGAGUCACACUGCGAGAAACUCACCACUUUUAUAUUGAGUUUUAGUUGUGUUAAAAAUAUUCCAGACGUUGAUAUUUAAGAGUAUAGAAACAUUUCAUAAAAUUCUAAAUGUAAAAAGUAAAAUUUAUUAGCGAUGUAAAGAUGAGAAUAUUGAUCCUCAUUGAAACUCAUGCGAAC